rnacentral:pre_miRNA from 1 species
AGCUGGGCUCCGUCUCCUUCAGCUCUUUUUGCGGUCUGGGCUUGCUGUUCUCUCAACAGUAGUCAGGAAGCCCUUACCCCAAAAAGUAUCUGCGGGAGACCUUAUCCACAAGGAAGACCCC